UAACUUGCCCAAGAGAUCGGGAUAACACCUGGAAACAGAUGCUAAUACCGGAUAACAACAGAUGAUGCCUAUCAACUGUUUAAAAGAUGGUUCUGCUAUCACUCUUGGAUGGACCUGCGGUGCAUUAGCCAGUUGGUAGGGUAACGGCCUACCAAGGCGAUGAUGCAUAGCCGAGUUGAGAGACUGAUCGGCCACAUUGGGACUGAGACACGGCCCAAACUCCUACGGGAGGCAGCAGCC
rnacentral:rRNA from 1 species